rnacentral:rRNA from 1 species
ACGCUGGCGGCAGGCUUAACACAUGCAAGUCGAACGGUAACAGGGAUUAGCUUGCUAAUUUGCUGACGAGUGGCGGACGGGUGAGUAAUGCUUGGGAAUCUGGCUUAUGGAGGGGGAUAACUACGGGAAACUGUAGCUAAUACCGCGUAAUAUCGGAAGAUUAAAGGGUGGGACUUUCGAGCCACCUGCCAUAAGAUGAGCCCAAGUGGGAUUAGGUAGUUGGUUAGGUAAAGGCUGACCAAGCCGACGAUCUCUAGCUGGUCUGAGAGGAUGACCAGCCACACUGGAACUGAGACACGGUCCAGACUCCUACGGGAGGCAGCAGUGGGGAAUAUUGCACAAUGGGGGGAACCCUGAUGCAGCCAUGCCGCGUGAAUGAAGAAGGCCUUCGGGUUGUAAAGUUCUUUCGGUGACGAGGAAGGUUGAUAGGUUAAUAGCCUAUCAAAUUGACGUUAAUCACAGAAGAAGCACCGGCUAACUCCGUGCCAGCAGCCGCGGUAAUACGGGGGGUGCGAGCGUUAAUCGGAAUAACUGGGCGUAAAGGGCACGCAGGCGGUGACUUAAGUGAGAUGUGAAAGCCCCGAGCUUAACUUGGGAAUUGCAUUUCAUACUGGGUCGCUAGAGUACUUUAGGGAGGGGUAGAAUUCCACGUGUAGCGGUGAAAUGCGUAGAGAUGUGGAGGAAUACCGAAGGCGAAGGCAGCCCCUUGGGAAUGUACUGACGCUCAUGUGCGAAAGCGUGGGGAGCAAACAGGAUUAGAUACCCUGGUAGUCCACGCUGUAAACGAUGUCGAUUUGGGGAUUGGGCUUUGAGCUUGGUGCCCGUAGCUAACGUGAUAAAUCGACCGCCUGGGGAGUACGGCCGCAAGGUUAAAACUCAAAUGAAUUGACGGGGGCCCGCACAAGCGGUGGAGCAUGUGGUUUAAUUCGAU